UACGUAGGGUGCAAGCGUUGUCCGGAAUUAUUGGGCGUAAAGAGCUCGUAGGCGGUUUGUCGCGUCUGCUGUGAAAACCCGAGGCUCAACCUCGGGCCUGCAGUGGGUACGGGCAGACUAGAGUGCGGUAGGGGAGAUUGGAAUUCCUGGUGUAGCGGUGGAAUGCGCAGAUAUCAGGAGGAACACCAGCGGCGAAGGCGGCCCCCUGGGCCGCUCCUGACGCUGAUACGCGAAGGCCAGGGUAGCGAACGGG
rnacentral:rRNA from 1 species